rnacentral:rRNA from 1 species
UACGUAGGUGACCAGCGUUGUCCGGAUUUACUGGGCGUAAAGAGCGCGCAGGCGGUCGUUCAAGUCGAGUGUGAAAGCCCCCGGCUCAACUGGGGAGGGUCAUUCGAUACUGAUCGACUGGAAGGCAGGAGAGGGAAGCGGAAUUCCCGGUGUAGUGGUGAAAUGCGCAGAUAUCGGGAGGAACACCAGUAGCGAAGGCGGCUCGCUGGGCCACACCUGACGCUGAGACGCGAAAGCUAGGGGAGCGAACAGG